rnacentral:rRNA from 1 species
UACGAAGGGGGCGAGCGUUGUUCGGAUUUACUGGGCGUAAAGGGCGCGCAGGCGGCUCAUUUUGUCAGGCGUGAAAGCCCCGGGCUUAACCUGGGAGGUGCGUUUGAUACGGAUGGGCUAGAGUUCGGGAGAGGAGAGUGGAAUUCCCAGUGUAGAGGUGAAAUUCGUAGAUAUUGGGAAGAACACCGGUGGCGAAGGCGGCUCUCUGGACCGAGACUGACGCUGAGGCGCGAAAGCAUGGGUAGCGAACAGG